UAUUCUGCCCUACAGGGAAGGAUGAGAAGCUUCGACCAAGGUUCGACUCGAGCGAAGCGAGAGAACGUUGCCGCAGGCAAUGGCCCGAAGGCGAGGCGCUUUAGCGCCGAGUAAUCCUUCCCCCACCACUG
rnacentral:sRNA from 1 species